rnacentral:pre_miRNA from 1 species
CGGUGAAUUCGACCGUGGUUUUGUUUCUUUUUCUAACAUCACCGGGUAGAAUUCAUCCAG